AAUGGCAGACUCCCUCCAAACUCUGCCAGUAUUUCCCAUUAGCCAAAUCCUACUGGAAGUGGAAGGCAAGAAAGCCCAUCAUGGCAAUCUAUACAGGUCAGCCUCUAGUGGCCCAGAGCAAGGUGAAGAAAGGUGGACAUGGACUCAGAGGGGCUUGUAGGCCUGAGAAUGACCUUAUCCCAACCUUCACUUGAUUCCUAUUUGGCCGACUAUAUAAUGAUAGAUUAGAAAUAAUUCUCUCUUGGAAUUUUGAAGACAUUGCUCUUUGCCUUUCAGCUUCUAGCAUUGCUUUUGGGAAAUCCAAAGCCAUUCUGGUUUCUGAGCCCAUAUAUAAAUUAGCUUUUUCUUCCUGAAAGUUUCUAGGAUCUUCAGGAGUCCCCUAAAAUGCCCAAUUCAACUCCCAAUCGAUCUAUUAAAUAAAUUAUCCCAACAGCUAUUUUGAAAAACAAUUUACAGAGACAGGAAAAGGAAUUACUUAUCCAUUUUUGGAGAAAUCACUUUUCCCUUAAGCAACAUUUAGAGGCCAGUCUAAUAGAGGUAUUGAAUUUUGAAUUUUGUUUAAAAUACAUCUUCCGGGGAAAAUCAUGUCAGAGAUGGGGAGGAAAAAAAUCACGAUAGUGGGAGUAUCCAAAAUUAUAGUAUUUCUACUCAACAUCUAAAAAUGUUAUCCUAUCCUCACAUGAAAUCGCUGUUGAGUAAGAUCAACCUAGGUUACCACUAAACAGCGUGUGUCUUUUCAAUAGCCUGGGGCCGCAGACUCUUCAAAAAGCAGAUUUAUAAAACAUUUCUCUUAGAAAAAUGGUAAGAUUUGGUGCACGGUACGCCUGGGUGGCUCAGUCAGUUGAGUGUCCAACUUCAGCUUAGGUCAUGAUCUUGCAGUUCGUGAAUUCGAGCCCCUCAUCGGGCUCACUGCUGUCAGCACAGACCCCACUUUGGAUCCUUUGUCCCCUUUUCCCUCCACCCCUCGCCCCCCAAAAAAUAAAUUUGAAAGAAAAAGACAAAUGAUAAGCUUUAUUUUUAAUAAGCUUAUUAUUUUACAUGAGAUAUCAUAACUGGGAGAUUACCCUGUUGUAGAAACCAGAAUCCAAUAAGUUACCCCAGCACAGAACAAUGUGGGUGACAGAAAUUCUUUUGUAGGUUGUCGUCUCCCAAUGGAGCCAAAGUUGCUUGGCCCGAGAUUAUUUCCAUGGUCUGUUGGACACCAAAGAUGAGGCUGGCUCUUGGCCACGAGCUAGGCUGCCCAGUCAAUAAGACCUGCUUUCAACAACCCAAGGCUGCACUGACUUCUGAUUUUUUUUUUUUAACAAUAGAAAUGAAACUGCCACAGGGAAGAGAGAGAACAAUGGUGUUUUGACAAAUGGAACAAAGAUCUAGCUUGACUGACAAUUCAGGUCAGAAAGAAAAAGAAGGCACAGGAAGACUGGUGUGGGUCCUCCCUCUUGCCAAGAAGCAAGCACUCUGUGGGAGGUUUCCACCGACAUGACGAACUGGCUCAGCAGUGGCCAUUUGGGUUGAGCAAUUGUGUUGGAUGUUUUCUGGCAAAAGGGUGCUUUUUCUAGGACUUCAAAUAUAAUUAGAGUAAAAACUGCGCAAUCAACACGUACAGCCAGAGUAUCUUUGAAACCUAAGGAAGGAAGAACCAGUGAGAACUUGUGAGAUUCCCUGAAAAAUGUUAUUGUCCUGUUUCUUUGGAGAUCUGCUAGAAUAGGUCAGAUGGGAGUUCUGGCCUGUGGAUGGGGCUUGGCUAAGAAACCUCUAGCUGCCCUUUCGAGACUUGUAAUCCUCUAAAAAUGGAAAUUAGGAAGCAUUCAUUCAUGACCUUGAAAAAAAUGUUUAUAAAAGUAUAUUAUAAUGUAUCAGUGAAACGAGCUGGGAAAAGGGUUUAUGUGAAAGUUCAUGUGAGAAAUGCAGCUAUUAGCACGCAUGCCAUUCCCCACCUUGACCCCAGCAGGAAUGUGUAAAUUGUAACAUAUGGAAUGUAAGCGUCUGUUGAGAUGUUUCAUAAAUCUGCCUGGCAAUGAGCAUCACAAGGCCCUGCGUGAGAACGGGCCCCAGAAAGGGAGAGACGGUGAAUGUCACAUCUAACUCUAGGCUGCUAAUCAGCCCAGAAUCUGACAAUCAAAAAUGUGCAGACAAUGUUCUUUAAUAAUAUCAGUUACUUUCUGACAAAGUGAGCUUUUUUUUAUGGGACCCGGCCUAGGAAUAGGAAAUACAUUCAUCCAUUCACUCAAGAAAUGUUUAUCAAGAGCCUGUAACAUGGCAGGCAGUGUGCUGGGCACCACAAGUACAGUGGGAACCAGAGAGAGAGACACUGCCUUGCUGCCUUACAACCUGAGGUGUGUAGAAAAACAGAUGUUAAACAAGUAAUAACAAAAAUAAUUUUAUAAUUACAAUUUGGAUAACUGCUAGAAAAGAAAACAAUAGCUUAUGCCAAUAGUACACCCCCUUGUCCAAACUUUCUACGUGGAUUAUCCCAUUUAAUCCUCAUAUAUCCUCCUGUGGUAGAUGCUAUUAUUUGCCCCAUUUUAUUUAUGUUUGUUUAUUUUUGAGAGUGAGAGAGACAGAAUGCGAGUGGGGGAGGCGGAGAGAGAGAGAGAGAGAGAGAGAGAGAGAGAGAGAGAGAGACAGAAUCUGAAGCAGGCUCCAGGCUCUGAGCUGUCAGCACAGAGCCCAACGCGGGGCUCGAACUCACGGACAGUGAGAUCAUGACCUCAGCCGAAAGUUGGAUACCCAACCGACUGAGCCACCCAGGUACCCCUAGCUCCAUUUUAAAGAUGAAGAAAUAGGGGCACCUGGGUGGCUCAGUCUGUUGGGUGUCUGACUUUUGGUUUCUGCUCAGGUCAUGAUCUCACGGUUUGUCAGAUGGAGCCCUGCAUCAGGCUCCCUGCUGAUAGUGCGGAGCCUGCUUGAGAUUCUCUCUCUCUCUGCUCCUCCACCACUUGUGUGCAUGCACACGUGCAUGCUCUCUCUCUCAAAAUAAAUAAACAUCAAAAAAAUAAAGAAAUAAAGUCAUGAAGGUCUGCACAUCUUGCUCAAGGCCACACAGCUAAUGAGUGGUGGGCUCAGAAUAUAGUGUCAGUCAGCAUGAGUCCAGGCCCCCAGUUCCUGACUAUGUGCCAUUUUUUUUUAUGACCUUUUAAUGAGGAAAGAGCACUGAUUUAGAUUUGCAGGUUAAAGAAAAUGUCUCUCAGGAUAUGAUUUUAGGCCAAGCCCAAAGAUAAGUAGGAAUUAAUUGGUUAGAAGAAGUAUUUCAAAAUUGGUGAAAUAGCACGUCAAAAGGUCCUGCAGCAGAAGGAGUUGGCUUUGGAGGCUGGCGUAACUGGGGUGUGGGGGGGUGAAGGCAAGGCUGGAAGGUAGGCAAGGGUCAGAGUAGGUGGGACCUUGUAAAUCCUGCUAAGAGUCUUGAGCUAAAUCCUGGUUAGUGUGGAGCUCCUGAAAGACCACACUUUGUCUGGGCCUCAGUGGAGUUACCCCAGGCACAACUGCUACAGCUAGGAGAGGAGACGUGUUCUUCCCAUGGAGGAUAGAGGCUGCUGCUGAGCUAGGAACUCAACCCUCCUUCCCACUGUCUCCUGCAGAAGAAAGAGGAUUCUACACAGUUCUGUUCUUAUCAGCUCUCUGUCCUCUGCUGUAGUUAGAAGAUGGCAAUGUUCAGAAGAGACUGAUGUUAUGUGCUGAAUGUUUAUGUCCCCCUCCCCGAAUUCAUAUGUUGAAAUCCUGAUCCUCAGUGUGAUGGUAUUUGGGAGGUAAUCAGGUCAUGAGGGCAGAGUUCUCGCAGAUGGGAUUAGUGCCCUCAUAAGAAGAGACAGAGGGGGCGCCCGGGUGGCUCAGUCGGUUAAGCAUCUGACUUCGGCUCAGGUCAUGAUCUCGCAGCUUGUGAGUUCAAGCUCCAUGUUGGGCUCUGUGCUGACAGCUCAGAGCCUGGAGCCUACUUCAGAUUCUGUGUCUCCCUCUUUCUGCCCCUCCCCUGCUCACGCUCUGUCUCUCUCUCUAAAAAAUAUUUUUAAAAAUUUAAAAAAAGAAAGGGAAGAGACAGAGAACUAGCUCCCUGUGAGGAUACAAUGAGGCGUUGGCCAUUUGCAAGCGGGAAGAGGGCUCUCCCAGAAUAUGACCGUGCUGGCACCCUGAUCUUACACUUCCAUCCUCCAGAAAUGUGAGAAAUUUCUGUUGUUUAUAAGCCACCCAGUGUAUGGUAAUCAGUGAUUACCAAACUGACUAAGACAGUCAGCCCAAACUGACUAAGACAACUGGAAAACGUGGGCACUUCAGUGGCUCAGUCUAUCAAGCUAACCAAGAGUCUGACCAAGCUGACCAAGAGUCUGUCAACCUAAACUCUUGGUUUAGGCUCAGGUCACGAUCUCACGGUUCGGGAGUUUAAGCCCUGCGUUGGGUUCUGUGCUGGCAGCACAGAGCCUACUUAGGAUUCUCUCUCUCUUCCUCUCUCUGUGCCUCUCUCCUGUUUGUGCACUCUCCGUCCCUCAAAACAAAUAAACAUUAUUUUUUUUUUUAAAAAGACAACUGGAAAAUCAAGAAUUCAUUCAGCACUACCUAAUAUUAACCUUAGGCACCACCAUUAAUUUUGGCUUUGUCCAAACCACAGGAAUUAAGAUUAAGAAAACUAUCCCCCCCCCCACUCCAAAUUUCCAAGUUAAAAAUGGCAGCAUUUCCUUACACUCCUGAGACAGACACUCUGUUAUUCUGGGGUGUUUCUUGAAAUCACUUGUUUCAUUUAUUCAUUCAUCAAAGGUUUGUGUACCUAUUGUGUGGCAGACAUGAAGGAUAGGAAAGCAAGUAAGACUCAAGCCCCCGUGGGAGGCAGAAUAAUGCAUCCUCAAAAUGUCCUGGAACCUGUGAACAUAUUACCUUAUGUGGCUGAAGAGUGUUUUGCAGAUGUGUAUAAGUUGAGGACCUUGAGUGGGGAGAUCAUCCUGGAUUAGGCAGGUGGCCCCAUAUAAUCAGAAGAGUCCAUUUAAGAGUGAAAGAGGGAGACAGGAGGGCCGGAGUCAGAGAAGCAGUUGUAAGGACUGAGGGAGAGUAAGCGAUGCAUUUCCUGGGUUGGGGCCACAAGCCAAGGAACAAGGGCAGCCUCUGGAAGCUGGAAAAGGCGAGGAUUGGAUCCUCCACUGGAGCCACCAGAAAGGGAUGGAGACCUCCCAGCCUACCUUGGUUUUUAGCCCAGUAAGACCCUCUUGGGAUUUCUCAUCUUCAUAACCAUAAGAUAACAAGUUUAUAUUGUGUCAGACCACUAAAUUUGUGAUCAUUUUUACACCAGCAGUAGGAAACAAAUGCACUCCCCGUUCCAGCCGGAACCUGGCCCAGGACAGACAUUUUAAUCCCUCAGUUUCCCACUAGUGCCCAGAUGCAGCCUCGUAGUCUCCCAACUCAGCAGUCCAGGUGGGGGCUCACUUACAUCCUGCGGGUGGAUGCAACUCACUUCCCAUCCUGUGGGGUCCGUGCAACCACUUACCCCUGAGUGUGACCCCACCGGCAUUGCUGUAUACCCAAAUAUUAAUUAUGUGGAUAUUUCUUAAUAAUUCUUCUAGAGUGGGGUUUCUACAUUGGUUCUGCCCCCUGAUUGCUGUGUCUCCUCGGGCAAAUUACCUACAUUCAUUCCCGGGCUUCAAUUUCAUUACCUUUAAGAUAAUAAUAUCUACGUCCAGGAUUGUGAAGCCUAGGUGACUUUGGUAUGAAAGCAUUAAAAAUCAUAACCUGGCACACAGGAUGUGCUCAACAAAUUUUAACAUGGUCAUGAUGACUGCUAUGAUUAUUCCCUACAGUGCUUAACAUGAGGCUUAAAAGUCCUUUGGGGGCAUGCCGUUUACAGUGUGGGACACACACUGGACGGGCAAGAGUGGGUGUCAGUGGACAAGGGCUAAUCGGGGGGAGAUUGAAUUAGGGUGAGAGGAUCAAAAUGGAAUGAAGUGGGUGGGCUUGACAGAUACGGCAGAAGUAAAACCACCAGACCAGUUGGUGAGUGGCAUUUGGGGGUGGAGAUGUGCCAGGAACGACAAAGUCAGAAGCCUUAUGAUGAUGUGCUAAUACGGCAUGGAAUGAAUCCUUAUUUUGCUUUUGUGCUCUCCUGCUCCCUGGUUUUUUCCUACUGCGGUCCUCUUUCCUGUCUUCCCAUAAUAAAGAAACAUCAUACAAAUUAAAAAAAAAAAAAAAAGAGCAAAAGGAGGCACCAGGUAU
rnacentral:lncRNA from 1 species